UCUACGGGAGGCAGCAGUGGGGAAUAUUGGACAAUGGGCGCAAGCCUGAUCCAGCCAUGCCGCGUGAGUGACGAAGGCCUUAGGGUUGUAAAGCUCUUUUGGCGGGGACGAUAAUGACGGUGCCCGCAAAAUAAGCCCCGGCUAACUUCGUGCCAGCAGCCGCGGUAAUACGAAGGGGGCUAGCGUUGUUCGGAAUUACUGGGCGUAAAGCGCACGUAGGCGGAUUUGUUU
rnacentral:rRNA from 1 species